UAGGGAAUUUUGCGCAAUGGACGAAAGUCUGACGCAGCAAUACCGUGUGAGGGAUGAAGCAUUUCGGUGUGUAAACCUCUGUCGAUGACGAAUAAAGCAUUUGGGAGUGGAAAGCCCAGGUGUUGAAGGUAGUCAGAAAGGAAGCACCGGCUAACUCUGUGCCAGCAGCCGCGGUAAUACAGGGGGUGCAAGCGUUGUUCGGAAUUACUGGGCGUAAAGGGAGCGUAGGCGGGAUUACAAGACAGGGGUUAAAUCUCCGGGCUCAACCUGGAACUUGCCUUUGUGACUGUAGUCCUUGAAUAUGGUAGAGGUCAGUGGAAUUUCCGGUGUAGCGGUGGAAUGCGUAGAGAUCGGAAAGAACACCAGAGGCGAAGGCGACUGACUGGACCAAUAUUGACGC
rnacentral:rRNA from 1 species